rnacentral:misc_RNA from 1 species
AAAAAAAAAAAAAAGAAUAACUAUCAGUGUAGUUAAUUGUAAAGCGACAAACAUUUUUGGCCCCAGCAUUUGCGCAAAAUGUGGAAACAUGUGAUAUGAUGGAUCAUUAUAGGGCCAACCAAGAACAACAAGCAUCCACCUCUCAGAAGUUAAACCCCUGUUUGGAUUGAGCACAGUGUGAAUUAUUAAUGCAUCGUAUCAUAUUGUAUUGUAUUAUAUGGUCUGGUUUUUAUUAUUAAUAUGUUUGAAAAGAUGAUAUAGUAUAAGAUAGUUUAAUAACCUUUUCUUAUUUGGUUAAAUGGUAUAGUAUGGUAAAAUAAAUAUAAAAAUUACUAAA